rnacentral:lncRNA from 1 species
GAUGUUCUUAAUCACAAGCUAGUAGGAAAGUAUUAUAUCCGAUGAUCUUAAGUGUUGGUAAGUGUCAAUUUAAUAAUAUUUGAAACUUAAAAGUUUACAAUUUUACUUGUAGACGUGUUAAGAAAAACUUAGCCAAAUCUAUUGCAUUUGCUCGGAGAGAUUAUCUACACCUUAUAUUUUGACCAGCAGCAAUAGAUGGGGUGGAUGAACUUGACAAGUCGAAAGAUGAGAGAGAUGUGUACACUUCUCUUUGAAAUGAAAAAAAAAAUCAAAUCAACGAAAACUAAUAAAAGGUUGUGGUGACGUCCACAUACAAGAGGGGCGAAAGAUUCCAGAGGGACAUUACUCAUAAAUUGAAAAUAAACUGACAACGCCAUGACAUUUAAAGAAAAAGACAAACAGACAAACAAUAGUACACAAAACUUAACAUAGAAAAAUAAAGACAAACCAACAAGAACCAAAAACUAGGGGGAUAUCAUGUACUCCCGAAGGGUAAAGGCCGAUCCUGUUCCACGUGUUGCACCCGUCGUGUUUCUCAUGUUAUUACAAAACCGAUAAUAAGUCUAAUUCGGUAGGUCUCAUUCGAGAAAAGGGAACGGGAUUGUAUUUACGACAGCAAACUUCAUCAAAGAAAAACAAAUAUCAUAAAUUUUCUUCCAUUAGUUUCUUUUGAAGUUGGGAUAGUUUUUAUAUGACCGCAAAAA